rnacentral:rRNA from 1 species
AUUGAACGCUGGCGGCAUGCUUUACACAUGCAAGUCGAACGGUAACAGGUCUUCGGAUGCUGACGAGUGGCGAACGGGUGAGUAAUACAUCGGAACGUGCCUAGUAGUGGGGGAUAACUACUCGAAAGAGUAGCUAAUACUGCAUGAGAUCUACGGAUGAAAGCAGGGGACCUUCGGGCCUUGUGCUACUAGAGCGGCUGAUGGCAGAUUAGGUAGUUGGUGGGGUAAAGGCUUACCAAGCCUGCGAUCUGUAGCUGGUCUGAGAGGACGACCAGCCACACUGGGACUGAGACACGGCCCAGACUCCUACGGGAGGCAGCAGUGGGGAAUUUUGGACAAUGGGCGAAAGCCUGAUCCAGCAAUGCCGCGUGCAGGAUGAAGGCCCUCGGGUUGUAAACUGCUUUUGUACGGAACGAAAAGCCUGGGGCUAAUAUCCCCGGGUCAUGACGGUACCGUAAGAAUAAGCACCGGCUAACUACGUG